GUUAUCUGUGAGAAGAGGCCGACCCCCAGCUCCCCGCAGCUUCCUUUCAGGCAGUUGCAGAGAGCAGUAAGGUCUCCCCUGAGCCUCCUCUGCUCCAGACUAAAGCAGAACCUAGCUGAUGAUUACUCUAGCAGGUGGGUAGAUCUGCUCUUUAACCCUCACUGAUGGGCAUUCCUGGACUUCCAGAGCAGUUUUUCUUGUACUCUAUUACUUUCUCAUUCAACGUUUACUUGAAUUAAAGUUUCUGAUAUGUGAGAAUUUCCACGUCUUGCGUUCAGCGGAUAUAGAAAAGAUUUGUUGUAAUGAUGUGAUGUGGCCAACUUCUUACAUAUUGGCAUACAUACGGGGCUGUGUCUGCCUGCCUCCCACUCUUCAGUGUUUUAAAACCUAGCACGCUCCAUUCUUCCAAGCUUCCUGUGCAGCGAAACUUUCGUCACUCCUGGCUUUGUUCUGGACCCGGUCCAGCUUGGCUGCAUCCUUUUGAAAGUUCAGCGAGUGGAUCUGAACUCCGUGUUCCGAGUGAGGAUGUGCAGUUAUUUCAUCACCCUGGUUGUUAUAGCCCAGGAUGACACUUACAUACCUGAGCAGCACUCUUUUUUUUUUUUUUUUUCCACUUCCUCUUUACAGCCCUCAGACUGACCUGCAGGUCCUUCUGUUAUAUAUCACCGCUUGUACAUCACUCUGUAAUUGUGGCUUUUUUUUUUCCCCAGUCAAAAUUCAUCCUGGGGCCUCCUAGCACAUUUCUAUGGCUCACGAAGGUCUUCUUCUGUCCUGCCUGGUUCUUGCAGCUACAUCUCCUAUCAACAGAUACCGAGCUAAUUGCGUUCUGGUAGUGAACUAUCAGAUACCAGAGGUGUAGAGGAGCUUGUUCAGGACUUGUAUCCCGAACUGCAUAACGAAACAAGACAUCAUGCUACUUCUCAAACAUAAUUCUCUCCCCGACCCCAGUUACAGAGGCACCUUCCACUAAUUCGAUCUAGGUUUCCUCAUUCAUCUAGGAUUCUUUAUUCAUCUAUUGCUGUGCUUUCCUGGCACUUCGAAUCGGUGUGUAUCACAUCUGGUGCCUAUAUCCCUUGGCCAAGUCAGUAGCCCUCUCAGGAGAAAUUAGAUUGGUGUGAAAUGAUUUGGUUGCUGUAAAAACAGUUAGUGGCUUUAGCCUGAAAGUUCCUCCAAACUUUCUCAAUGGUUUUCUAAAACAAAUUAAAGGGAAGAGGAAAUUAUAAGCUGAUCAACCUAUGUUUGAUAACCAGAGAUCGAUCUUCAAAGUUGAAGUAGAUAUGUCAUUGCUUUUCUAAAAGUGGAUUAGGUCUAACAUAGUCAGUAAUCACAGAAUCAGUCAGCUCGGAAAAGACCUCUCAGAUCAUCUAGUCCAACCUUUAACCGAGCACUAGUUCACGAUUUUAGUUCAUCUGUUUUAUUUCUGUAACACUUCUGGAUGGUUUGUUUCCCCACCUACAACCUGCUGAUUACACGCCUUGCUAACCAUCGCGGCGCACGGGUACAAUUACGUUAACGAACUGCAGAAAACAACGUUCAGUAUUACAGUCCUUCACCAAAUGGAAUGGUACGAUCAAAAUAAGCAGCUGGCGGCUUGUAAAGGAAGUGCUUUUUGACACAGCACCCAAUUAAAGUGUGGAACUCACUGCCCCAGAAUGCUGUGAAUGUCGCUCGUUUAAACAAGCUUAAACAAUACGAUGAAUUUGGGCUAGAAAGGCUUAUCAUGGUCUGUUAAGCACGUAGGUGUGGGUGCAACUGGGAACUCCUCGAGCUGCGUAUUGCUGAAAACUGCGAGGAUGUAGGGAGGAAAAAGAUCACUCCAUCCAGCGCACCCCAGUGCUGUUUUCCUCACCUUGUUCCCCUGUCCUGGGCAUCAACAGGGGUGGCUCUGGGCAGGCUACCGAGCUAAAUGGACUUUUUGGUCUGAUCCUGAAUGGCAGUUCUUGUUCUUAUCUGUAACUCACUCGCUUCCAGCUUAAACAGUGGAGCUGCACAACUCCUGCUUCCCGUUUCUAUAAAUACACCAGAAGUAAUUUCCUUUUUCUUCUGCACUGAAGCUUUUGUACCUGUUCUGACGCUGCUCCUACACGCAGCGCUGUCUUAUUUCCCCCAUUUCUUUUUACUAGUUGACCUCUCUGCCGUGUUAGUAGCAGGCUGGGGCUCAAGUGGUGCUACACGGGUCUCUUCCUGCACAUGACAAUAGUUUGCUCCCCUCUCCCUUCACAUUGUCUGAGAAGCACCCAGUCACUUCUCCCCCUCCCAUGGAGCUGUGCCCAUUCAUUCUGUGGCACUGUGAAGUGACAGAUAAGUCACUUGAAUCCACCUUUGUGGUAUUUUUCUGGUUUAAACGUAGUUCUUCGACAUGGGUAAUGCUGCUCGGUUCCCUAGCAGUUCCCAGAAUAAUUAACAAUUUAACCAUUGCAGAUGUCUUGGGAUUUUCCCCUCUGUUUUCUGUUAAAGCUGUGCCAGUGAUAGGAUCCUGGGCUCAGUGAUGGUUGGACUUCAGAUUAAUUGAGUGUGACCAUCAGGCUGCUUCAGGAUCUCCUGACUCUUCCUCCCCCAACGGAGCAUCGGGGCUGAACUGCCUCUUACUAAACAAAACUCAGCGCGGCAGAGACAGCAAGUUGUACUGCAUGCACUUGGUAGGAGCAGCUGAAUCGGUGUUGUGAAGCUUUCUGUGGCCCCUUGAUAUUCAGUGGCUUUAACGGGCAGAAUCACAGAACGGAGAGGUGGGAAGGGACCUGUGGAGGUCACCUAGUCCAACCCCUGCCCGGCAGGGUCCCCUAGAGCACGUCUUUGAGAUGUGACGUUGCUCAUCUGGAAAGGAAACGAGGAAGGAGACCGAAGAGCUAACUGAGCUGAGGUUGUCCUCUCAGACCCUGCUGUGCCGUUCACCCCAGGUGUAUUUAUGAAGGGGUGUUCACUCAUCUCAGAUCCUCCGUGGAAAAAAGGAAGCUGCUCACUUCAGCAGGAGCAGCGAGGGGUGGUAACCUUGGCAGAGCUCUGACCACAGAAAUCCGACCAGGCAUGGAGAAGCGUUCAGUCCCGUAACACAGAGCUUCUGGAAGUCUUCUGGAAGCCUCUGCUUCAAUUCACGUACCAUUCUGCUCAGCCAAAUGAGCAAAGCUCACGUGGGAGCAGCUCUUUUCAACGAAGAGCGUGGUGCAGUUACUGCAGGGCUGCUCGCUGGGUCUGCUGCCACCACGAAGCCCUUAAACAAAAACCCCUUUCUCUGCCUGCGGAAGUCUGGUCCUUGCCGUGAGCUCACCCACAACAAAAGCUGCUUGGAGUCCUGUUCAGCCGGAGCGAGGACCUACCUCACAACAGCUCUUUUCCUGUCAUUCUCUCCCUUACUAGACAUAGCAGCCGAAUGAGUAUUUGGGUGGGGAAGGAAGGAGAUUGCAACAUCCA